AUUUUCUUAAUAUAAUUAGUAUAGGUGUCUUCCAAUCACCUAGCCUUGGUGCAACUCCAAGAGAAAAUA
rnacentral:tRNA from 1 species